rnacentral:rRNA from 1 species
UACGUAGGGACCGAGCGUUGUCCGGAAUCAUUGGGCGUAAAGAGCGUGUAGGCGGCCACUUAAGUCCUGCGUGAAAUCUUGCGGCUCAACCGCAAGCGGUCGUGGGAAACUGGGUGGCUAGAGUGCGGGAGAGGUGAGUGGAAUUCCCAGUGUAGAGGUGAAAUUCGUAGAUAUUGGGAAGAACACCAGUGGCGAAGGCGGCUCACUGGCCCGUAACUGACGCUGAGGUGCGAAAGCGUGGGGAGCAAACAGG